UCCCAUAUAGUGUAGGGGUUAUCAUACUGCCCUCUCAUGACUAGUUUGUCUGAUUUCGGCAGAGACCGGGGUUCGAUUCCCUGUGUGGGAG
rnacentral:tRNA from 1 species